GAGGCGUAGGGAAACCGAGUCUUAAUAGGGCGAAUUAGUCGCAAGGUGUAGACCCGAAACCGGGCGAUCUAUCCAUGGCCAGGGUGAAGGUGCGGUAACACGCGCUGGAGGCCCGAACCCACUUAUGUUGAAAAAUGAGGGGAUGAGCUGUGGAUCGGAGUGAAAGGCUAAUCAAGCCCGGAGAUAGCUGGUUCUCCUCGAAAGCUAUUUAGGUAGCGCCUCGCGUAUCACUCCAGGGGGUAGAGCACUGUUACGGCUAGGGGGCCAUCCCGGCUUACCAAACCGUUGCAAACUCCGAAUACCUGGAAGUGCAAUCGCGGGAGACAGACGGCGGGUGCUAACGUCCGUCGUCAAGAGGGAAACAACCCAGACCGCCAGCUAAGGUCCCUAAAUCAUGGCUCAGUGGGAAACGAUGUGGGAAGGCCUAGACAGCUAGGAGGUUGGCUUAGAAGCAGCCAUCCUUUAAAGAAAGCGUAAUAGCUCACUAGUCGAGUCGGCCCGCGCGGAAGAUUUAACGGGGCUUAAGCCAUGUACCGAAGCUGCGGAUGCGUGUUUACACGCAUGGUAGAGGAG
rnacentral:rRNA from 1 species